rnacentral:rRNA from 1 species
UUAACUCCAACCCCUGUGACAUACCUAUACGUUGCCUCGGCGGAUCAGCCCGCGCCCUGUAAAAAGGGACGGCCCGCCCGAGGACCCUAAACUCUGUUUUUAGUGGAACUUCUGAGUAAAACAAACAAAUAAAUCAAAACUUUCAACAACGGAUCUCUUGGUUCUGGCAUCGAUGAAGAACGCAGCAAAAUGCGAUAAGUAAUGUGAAUUGCAGAAUUCAGUGAAUCAUCGAAUCUUUGAACGCACAUUGCGCCCGCCAGUAUUCUGGCGGGCAUGCCUGUUCGAGCGUCAUUUCAACCCUCAAGCUCAGCUUGGUGUUGGGACUCGCGGUAACCCGCGUUCCCCAAAUCGAUUGGCGGUCACGUCGAGCUUCCAUAGCGUAGUAAUCAUACACCUCGUUACUGGUAAUCGUCGCGGCCACGCCGUAAAACCCCAACUUCUGAAUGUUGACCUCGGAUCAGGUAGGAAUACCCGCUGAACUUAAGCAUAUCA